AACGAACGCUGGCGGCAUGCCUAACACAUGCAAGUCGAACGGACCCUUCGGGGUUAGUGGCGGACGGGUGAGUAACACGUGGGAACGUGCCUUUAGGUUCGGAAUAGCUCCUGGAAACGGGUGGUAAUGCCGAAUGUGCCCUUCGGGGGAAAGAUUUAUCGCCUUUAGAGCGGCCCGCGUCUGAUUAGCUAGUUGGUGAGGUAAUGGCUCACCAAGGCGACGAUCAGUAGCUGGUCUGAGAGGAUGACCAGCCACAUUGGGACUGAGACACGGCCCAAACUCCUACGGGAGGCAGCAGUGGGGAAUCUUGCGCAAUGGGCGAAAGCCUGACGCAGCCAUGCCGCGUGAAUGAUGAAGGUCUUAGGAUUGUAAAAUUCUUUCACCGGGGACGAUAAUGACGGUACCCGGAGAAGAAGCCCCGGCUAACUUCGUGCCAGCAGCCGCGGUAAGAC
rnacentral:rRNA from 1 species